CAGUAGCCGCGGUAAUACAGAGGGUGCGAGCGUUAAUCGGAUUUACUGGGCGUAAAGCGUGCGUAGGCGGCUUCUUAAGUCGGAUGUGAAAUCCCUGAGCUUAACUUAGGAAUUGCAUUCGAUACUGGGAAGCUAGAGUAUGGGAGAGGAUGGUAGAAUUCCAGGUGUAGCGGUGAAAUGCGUAGAGAUCUGGAGGAAUACCGAUGGCGAAGGCAGCCAUCUGGCCUAAUACUGACGCUGAGGUACGAAAGCAUGGGGAGCAAACUGGAUUAGAUACCCCCGUAGUCCCUGUCUCUUAUAC
rnacentral:rRNA from 1 species